UUGCCUUGGCCUCUCCAGUCUCACCUAAGAAGCCAGAGCCUGUCCCACCUUUCUCAGCAGAAACCGGCUACCAAGAGACACAAAUGCCUUUCCCCUAAAAGGCAAUUCAGGAGAACCUGAAGCAGCUGCUUUUGAUAAAGGAAGGAUGUGGCCAACACAGAGGGAGGAAAAGAGGAUCCUCCCUGCAGUGUGCUUCUGAAGAUUAAAUCAGAUAAUGUAUUCCUAUGAGCUUUAUGAAGUGACGUACAAAAGCAAGGGAUUAUUCACUAAUUCAACAAACAUCCACUGAGCUCGAGCAGUGGAUUUGGAGAGCCUGUAUUCAUAACCCUUUUUUACCGGAUGAGAAAAUGGGGUCCAGAAGUUAAAGUAACUUCCCAGAGCCACUCAGCUGGUAAAUGACAGGUAAACUUUGAACCCUUUCAGACUCCAAAAGCCAUGGUUUUAACCUCCUUGUUAGAAAGCCCCUUCACUUUUAUUCAACCCUCCAAAAAUCCUCUUAAGCAACAUUUCCUUAACUUGAGGAUGUCACCCUUCCUCUUUCCCAAAAACAGAAUCUUAAUUCCC